GCUUGGCUGGCUCAGUAGGUACAGCAUAAGACUCUUGAUCUCAGGUGUUGUGAGUUUGAGUCCCAUGUUGGGUA
rnacentral:tRNA from 1 species